GUCAAAGCAGCAAGUUGUGAUCAAACAGGUGCGUCCCUCAGUGAUGUUGCUCACCUGUUGAACACUCGGGUGUUCUGUCCACCUGUUCUGUUAGUGAUAGACUCAAUCCACGUAAUGUCAGACAGACGCUUGUAUAACUGUUAGAUCAUCAAAAAAAGGAGGAAAUGAAGAAGUGAUUUUUAAAAUUCCAUGCAAAUAAAUAAAAGAAUGUUUAUGUGUACUGAUAUAUAUAUGUACUCAGGAAAUAUGUGAUCAUAAAAUAAAAUGAUUAAGU
rnacentral:misc_RNA from 1 species